rnacentral:rRNA from 1 species
AAUCCACACACCUGUGCCCCCUUCGGUUGGGGGGUUUCGGCCCCCCUCUUCCCUCACACUUACUUUGUAAUGUCUAGAAUUCUAUUAUCUUAAAUGAUAAAAAAUACAACUUUCAGCAACGGAUCUCUUGGCUCUCGCAUCGAUGAAGAACGCAGCGAAAUGCGAUACGUAAUGUGAAUUGCAGAAUUCAGUGAAUCAUCGAAUCUUUGAACGCACCUUGCACCCCGUGGUUCUCCGCGGGGUACGCCCGUUCGAGUGUCACGUAAACCAUCGCCUAAGUGAAGCUUGCUUUGCUCUGGCGGAUCUGGACGCCUGCCGUUGUUGGCUCGUCCGAAAUGUAUUAGCGAGGGUGGUCUCCCUAAACCGCUUGGCGUGAUAUUUCCUUCUCGCCUGUUGGUCGGUCUAGAAGACGGCUCUGCUCCGAAUCCCGUCGCAUCGACGGAACAUUACAAAGUUUGACCUCGAAUCGGGUGGGAC